rnacentral:rRNA from 1 species
CAGUAGGGAAUCUUCCACAAUGGACGAAAGUCUGAUGGAGCAACGCCGCGUGAGUGAAGAAGGGUUUCGGCUCGUAAAACUCUGUUGUUAAAGAAGAACAUAUCUGAGAGUAACUGUUCAGGUAUUGACGGUAUUUAACCAGAAAGCCACGGCUAACUACGUGCCAC